rnacentral:tRNA from 1 species
GUUUUUGACAAAUAAAAGAUUUUGAAAGUCUUUUCAGAGGAAAAUCGCCUCACUAAGUGAG